GUAUAAAACUGCUCACCCACAGCCCAGCUUUGAUAUUUUUGUUUCAACAUUGUAGGGUUGUAGGGCUAGCGGAGGGCUCCUGUGCUACACAGUGCAACUGCCAAGUGCAACAAGGAGAUCCCGUGGUGACACUGUGAAGAGUUGAACUUUUAAAAAGAAAUCUGAUUUCCUGACCAGAAAGAUUCUACGCACCCAGCUGUCAACAUGGACACUGCAAGGCGAGUGACAUGGAAACCAACAUCAGUGACUAGCAUCACUGAUCAUGCAUAUGCGCAUGACAGCAUCACACCGCUCUUCUGCAGUGAUGCGGCACCAGGCAUGAUGAUGAUGUCCGGACAACUGGAUCCACCAGGUGACCAGUUGUCCCUCCAGUCAUCUGGGAUGAAAGGCUAACAGCCAAACAAUUUUUAUGGGACGAGACUUCAGCUGUCAUCAAGUACAACUCAGCUAUAAACACACUGGGCUAUAUGAAACCAAGUGCAUGCAACAUUCUACAUUCUACAUGUAGCUAUAGGACAGUCUUUUUGAUAUUGUAAAUACAGACAAAGUGGUACAUAUACAUGUAAUCAGUCACCAUAGCCUCUAUACAAUAAAAUCUAUUAGAGACUUAAUUAUGACGUAAAGGGUAACAAGUGCAAUCAUUGGAAUUGAUUUAUCACCAUCGGAAUGGUCCAUACCUUUACUGUACAUGUAUGGCAUUUGUGACACCAUUGCUGCAUUUUGCCACUGUAAAUGUCAACAAUGUAGUUUUUUUUAACAACUGGAUAAGCUGAGUCUCAGAGGCAGGGGUCCCAUGUGAAAACAAUACCUGCCUCACACUAGUGUAGUUAAAAAAGUGCAAAAAAAGGAUGACAUGAGCAAAGGAGCUGGAUACACAACCACACGUCAUUGAGGUGAAACUCUGAAACAGGUGGUUAUUCUCCAAGCAGAUGUUACAUGCCACAGGCAACUCCAGUAUGUCAUUUGUACAACAACCAGUAUGUGAAACUGUUGGAACUAAUACACCAAUUCUGUCAUCCUA